UACGUAGGGUGCAAGCAUUAAUCGGAAUUAUUGGGCGUAAAGGGCGCGUAGGCGGAUAAAUAAGUCAGAUGUGAAAUACCAAAGCUCAACUUUGGUGCUGCAUUUGAAACUGUUUGUCUAGAGGAUUGACGGAGAAAGGGGAAUUCCACGUGUAGCGGUGAAAUGCGUAGAUACGUGGAGGAACACCGGUGGCGAAAGCGCCUUUCUAGUUUAGACCUGACGCUGAGGCGCGAGAGCAA
rnacentral:rRNA from 1 species